UGGGGGAUAUUGCACAAUGGGCGAAAGCCUGAUGCAGCGACGCCGCGUGGGGGAUGAAGGCUUUCGGGUUGUAAACCUCUUUCGCUAUCGAACAAGGCCCGCUUAGGGUGGGUUGAGGGUAGGUGGAGAAGAAGCGCCGGCUAACUACGUGCCAGCAGCCGCGGUAAUACGUAGGGCGCGAGCGUUGUCCGGAAUUAUUGGGCGUAAAGGGCUUGUAGGCGGCUUGUUGCGCCUGCUGUGAAAACGCGAGGCUUAACUUCGCGCGUGCAGUGGGUACGGGCAGGCUUGAGUGUGGUAGGGGUGACUGGAAUUCCAGGUGUAGCGGUGGAAUGCGCAGAUAUCUGGAGGAACACCGAUGGCGAAGGCAGGUCACUGGGCCAUUACUGACGCUGAGGAGCGAAAGCAUGGGUAGCGAACAGG
rnacentral:rRNA from 1 species